rnacentral:rRNA from 1 species
CACCUGUUCCCAUGUCGAACACAGAAGUUAAGCUUCUUAGCGCCGAGAGUAGUUGGGGGAUCGCUCCCUGCGAGGGUAGGACGUUGCCAUGC